UGUUGUUGUUAAAGUUUCCAAAUAGAAAAGAAAAAUAAAACCCUCAUGAGAGUUUCCUCAUUCAUUGAUGACUGUUUUCUAUGUCUAGAGUCUAGACUACUAUUUACUACUUAUGUUAGAGUCAAAUUCAUCACAUUGUCAAUGAUUGUCAGUGUAGACUAGUUACUGUAGCAGUGUAUGUAAUUAGAGCUAGUAGAGUCUAUAUACUAGGUAUUAACAGUGUUAAUUAGACUUAGACUCUAGACCAGUAUUGUUGUACUACAAAAUAAUUUUAUAUUGAGUUCAUAUAGAUAGAUCUAGUUUAAUAGUGAUCGCACGGCACAGCCAGGUCUAUUUGAUAGAAUCAGGUAGAUUGUAGAUCUAAAUUCUAGAUCUAUAGUCUAUAGAUAGAUCUAUAUACAAGAGUCAAGAGAAUCUAUAGAGAUUCUAUUUGUAUUUUGAUAUAAAAUAUAAUCUUAAUUGACUUAACGACUAAAGUUUCAUCUAGGACAAGAAUGAUUAUAUCUCGAAUUCUGAAGCAUUUUAACUGAUCGUAUUGUUUACCACUAUUACUGGCAUCCUCAAUCCUGCAAUGGGAGAGAAAGAAGAUAUGCUAAGGACUUUGCUAUUUGAUGAUACAGACAAUUUUGAACCUACUUGUCAUGACAGAGAAAUCAAUUUAGUUUGUGAUGUUCCCAUUCAUCUGAACAGAGCCAAUAUUACAAAAUGUACAGACAGAGAGAAUCACAUUGUAAGUCAACAAAACAAAAAUGCUAUUGGAAGUAGCUUUAACUCUCAGCAGCCAUGUACACAGCAAUUAAAUCAAGGCUUCAAUAUGCCUGGACAAGUACUAAAUAGCUUCAAUGCAACUUCAGUAUUUCAUAAGCCUAUAACAAGCCUUUCUGCUGUCAUGGGCAGUAAUCAUUAUAGGCCACUGAGGCCAGCUAGCACACCUAGCAAUGACUUAUUUAGCCAUAACA
rnacentral:sRNA from 1 species